rnacentral:rRNA from 1 species
CAGCAGUAGCCGCGGUAAUACGAGGGGGGCGAGCGUUGUUCGGAAUUAUUGGGCGUAAAGGGUGCGUAGGCGGUUCGGUAAGUCUUGUGUGAAAUCUUCAGGCUCAACUUGAAGUCUGCACGAGAAACUGCCGGGCUUGAGUGUGGGAGAGGUGAGUGGAAUUUCCGGUGUAGCGGUGAAAUGCGUAGAUAUCGGAAGGAACACCUGUGGCGAAAGCGGCUCACUGGACCACAACUGACGCUGAGGCACGAAAGCUAGGGGAGCAAACAGGAUUAGAUACCCCCGUAGUCCCUGUCUCUUAUAU